GUUUCAUAAAGUAGAUUAUGAGAUACUGGCACGGACCUAAUACGAUCUUUACCCUAAUCUUCUCUAUGGCCAUCGAAAAUAGUCGUAAGAAAAGUACCAAGCUUUUGAACAAUGAAUGGGAUUAGCGGGCCGUGGCGACUCCACCAAUUCUACCUCCAUGUUCCUAUUAUAAGACCCUUUCGCUCCUCACAUCAGUAUUUCUAAAGGUCAAAGAGUGGGUCAAAUGAGUUCUAAUGAGUGUUUCUUUAGUUUCACGGUACAGAAGAAGGGCCAUACUACCACCAGGGUCAUAAAACUACUCCUGGAAAUGGCCAAAACUCCUACGAAAGCCUUGUCAAAUAUGUGAUCUUGGGCGACGAAAUGUUUAGUGAUAGCGACUUCCAUUUAGCGUAACCUGUUUUUGGGUCAUGAUCAGUAGAGCCCCUUAUAGAGUCCCGACUACCUAAGAUUUGGACGCCAUUAUUGUGCCUGUUUUCGCCGUGCUUUUCAAACGCUAUCGCACGCUCUCGUGGGGACAACAGGACCAAUAAUGGCGUCUAAAUCUUAGGUUGUCGGAACUCUAUCUAUCAAGGGACUCUACAGAUCACGACCCAGAAACAGGUUACGCUAAAUGAUUGAUUGAUUGAUAGUUUAUUGUUGCAGGUAUAAAUGGAAGACGUUAUCAUACAUCCCUUUAGUGUCAGAAACCGGUAAGUACGAUGCUGUGAGUACGACAACCUGGCAACGGUGGCCCAGAGGAUGGCACGAAGGUUAGGAGACAAUACUGUUUUGAAUGUGCCUAUCAAUUCGUCAGUCCACAUCCCUUCCACCACGUCACAAGAGCCAUCAUGACCCCCAGCCAGCGUUGCCAAAUUAUCGUACACACCGUAUUGCAUUUUCGUAGUUUCUUACUGAUAUCUAGAGCAAAAAUAAACAAACAAGCAUCAAUAAAUAACAGUUUUAACGCCAACUUCAAUAUUCUUUCGUUAUUUGUGUAGGUACGAGAGUUUGAGGCUUAAAAAUGAUAAAUACAAUAUGGUGAAUACGAUAAUCUGGCGACGCUGCCCCCAGGCCUUCACUCACCUCUAGAUCUGUUUGGUAACUCGUGGACGUUCUGGUUCUUGGACUAUUGUAUCAGUAGCCAGACUUCCCUUACUGAUCCACCCGCCACCACGCCCCAAGAUGGACUGUCUGCGCUUGAGCCACGAGUCCACGACCUGCUCCACCGUUGCCAGAUUAUCGUACUCAGAGCCUCGUAUUUACCGGUUUCUGAGGUAUCGUGCUCCACCGUUGCCAGAUUAUCGUACUCAGAGCCUCGUAUUUACCGGUUUCUGAGGUAUCGUGCUCCACCGUUGCCAGAUUAUCGUACUCAGAGCCUCGCAUUUACCGGUUUCUGAGCCAUAGCUAUUGCCAAUAAUCACCAAUAAUUAACCAUUUUAACGAUAACUAUAUAUGAAGGCAGUUAUUGCGGUCGAGGGGGCAGUUUUUGCGUCGGAAAUCGGCAAACAGAGGAGACUGAGUACGACAAUAUGGCAACGUUGACCAGCAGGCAUGAGACAAAAGGUAGACUAAAAUAGAUUGUUUCAGAAGACAUUAUAUUUUGUUUAGCAUAUUCAUCAGGUUUACAGUGUUGGGAGUGUUAUUGUACUGGAUGGGCUUCAGAGAGCAGUGUCAGCCAGGCGGUGUUCAUCAGGAGAGAUUGUGUGAACGUCUUAAUAAUUAACAGUGUUGGUAUGGGAGACGCGAAGUACCAUGGCUAACGACACGCAUAGACCUUGAUACCUACCUGUUUACUGACGCUUUUACGCAGACAUGACAAUUGCAACAUCAGCCGUGAACUGUAGGGUCAUUAGGCCAUAGGCAAGAAUAAUCCAUCAAUCACUCACUGAGGGCGGUAUUCUCAGACGCUUCCACCUCGCACAUCAACUAUUUUCAAAGGUCGAAAUGGAGAUUAAUCGGGCUUUAUGAGGAUUUUUUCACAUUCAUGGUACAGAAGAGGAGUUAAACAACCACCAGGGCCAUUAAACUACCCCUAAAAAUGCACGAAACGCCUGCGAAAGCCUUGUAAAAUAUGUGUAAUUGGGCUCCGAAAGGUUUGAGAAUACGGGUCUCAAACUCUUCAAGCCGCGAACAGUCAGGGCCUCUGGCGGCGAACGGAGGAGCCAUGCGGUGUUCAUCAGGAGAGAUUGUGUGGACGUCCUAAUCGAGUGUUGGUAUGCGAGACGCGAAGGUGACGAUGCCCGACCUAUCAUGGCGAACGACACACAUAGUUCUUGAUGCCUACUUGCUUCCUGACGCUUUUACGCAGACAUGACAAUUGAAACAUCAGACGUGAAUUGUAGGGUCAUUAGGCCAUAGGCAAUACUAAUCCAUCAAUCAUUCGAACAUGCUGAGAACGUCACUUUACUUGCAUGAUGUUUUAGACCAACACAUGCGAUAUCAAUGUGUACCUGAUGCCAAAAGUUUCUUAAGGGGCUAUUACACUGGGCAACUUUUCCGUGGAUCUUCAGUCAAACCACGAUUUCCGCUGGCGUGGUUCUCAUAUUUCCGUGGUUUUCUGACGUGUCCACGAUCUUCCAAAGCUACGGUAGAUUUCACUGAAGGACGACGGUAUUACUCACCAUCAUCAUCAUCAGCAAUAACAAGAAACAAAUGAGAACCACGCUAGCGGAAAUCGUGGUUUGAGAAUCGUGCAACGUAUCGCCCACUGUGACACCUUACAAUCUCUAGUUUAUAAAAAUAUUAUUUGCAUUAUAUAAUAUUAGACUUAGACAACACAAUUUACAAUGUAUGAACAUGGAAAAGUAGCACCGUGGAAACUAGAAAAAAAUAUAUAUACAUAAGUCAAAAGAGACAAAAGGACAAAACAAGAAAAUACUUAAAAGAUGUUUGAUAAAAUACGUGUUAUCAAGAAAACAAGUUCCUGCAUGAUAACAACCAGCUUCACAAAGAAAACUGCUCUCUCUCUCUCUCUCUCUCUCUCUCUCUCUCUCUCUCUCUCUCUCUCUCUCUCUCUCUCUCUCUCUCUCUCUCUCUCUCUCUCUCUCUCUCUCUCUCUCUCUCACACACACACACACACACACACACACGCACACACACACGCA